rnacentral:rRNA from 1 species
UUCCGGAUAACGCAUAUUUGCUGGAAUGCUUUAUGCGUCAAAAGGAUUCGUCUGCCCAAGGAUGGGUCUGCGGCCUAUCAGGUAGUAGUGGGUGUAAUGUACCUACUAGCCAGCGACGGGUACGGGUUGUGAGAGCAAGAGCCCGGAGAUGGAUUCUGAGACAUGAAUCCAGGCCCUACGGGGCGCAGCAGGCGCGAAAACUUUACAAUGCGGGAAACCGUGAUAAGGGGACACCGAGUGCCAGCAUCAUAUGCUGGCUGUCCGGAUGUGUAAAAUACAUCCGUUAGCAAGGGCCGGGCAAGACCGGUGCCAGCCGCCGCGGUAACACCGGCGGCCCGAGUGGUGAUCGUGAUUAUUGGGUCUAAAGGGUCCGUAGCCGGUUUGGUCAGUCCUCCGGGAAAUCUGAUAGCUCAACUAUUAGGCUUUCGGGGGAUACUGCCAGACUUGGAACCGGGAGAGGUAAGAGGUACUACAGGGGUAGGAGUGAAAUCUUGUAAUCCCUGUGGGACCACCUGUGGCGAAGGCGUCUUACCAGAACGGGUUCGACGGUGAGGGACGAAAGCUGGGGGCACGAACCGGAUUAGAUACCCGGGUAGUCCCAGCCGUAAACGAUGCUCGCUAGGUGUCAGGCAUGGCGCGACCGUGUCUGG